rnacentral:rRNA from 1 species
UACGUAGGGGGCAAGCGUUGUCCGGAAUCAUUGGGCGUAAAGAGCGUGUAGGCGGCCAGAAAAGUCCGCUGUGAAAACUCGAGGCUCAACUUCGAGCUGUCGGUGGAAACUUUCUGGCUAGAGUCCGGAAGAGGAGAAUGGAAUUCCUGGUGUAGCGGUGAAAUGCGCAGAUAUCAGGAAGAACACCCGUGGCGAAGGCGGUUCUCUGGGACGGUACUGACGCUGAGGCGCGAAAGCGUGGGGAGCAAACAGG